UACACUUCACUGGUCCAGCUAAUGAAUGUAGCAUAGAGGUUCCUGGUGUUUUAAAUGUUCAAAGGCUUCAGCAGUUGCUUCUCACCUUGGCUACUCUAAUAAAAAGGGAACUAUGUGACUCAUCUUUUCUGGUGAUUGGAUAUAUAAUGAAAAAAAUCCUGUGAGGAAGACUUCGCAAGGGCAAGUUACUUUAGAGUUUACAGUGUAAAUGAAUAUUAACAGCUACUUAUGUAUUGUUUAACAACAUGAACAUCACGCUUUUUCAUCUUGCUUACUUACAGAGAUGUGGUUCUGUCA